AGCGAACGCUGGCGGCAGGCUUAACACAUGCAAGUCGAGCGGGCACUUUCGGGUGUCAGCGGCGGACGGGUGAGUAACGCGUGGGAACGUGCCCUCUGGUUCGGAAUAACUCAGGGAAACUUGAGCUAAUACCGGAUACGCCCUUUUGGGGAAAGGCUUGCUGCCGGAGGAUCGGCCCGCGUCUGAUUAGCUAGUUGGCGAGGUAACGGCUCACCAAGGCGACGAUCAGUAGCUGGUCUGAGAGGAUGAUCAGCCACACUGGGACUGAGACACGGCCCAGACUCCUACGGGAGGCAGCAGUGGGGAAUAUUGGACAAUGGGCGCAAGCCUGAUCCAGCCAUGCCGCGUGAGUGAUCAAGGCCUUAGGGUUGUAAAGCUCUUUUAUCCGGGACGAUAAUGACGGUACCGGAGGAAUAGCCCCGGCUAACUUCGUG
rnacentral:rRNA from 1 species